CUGAGGAUCAGACGCGUGCGUCUGGGCGACAGGGUCUCUAGCUGGGGAUCUCCCUGGUUGGGAGCCUCGCAAUAAGGGUCGGCGUGAAGAUUCAGGACAGUAGUCACUCCAGGGGGCUUGUAGGGAAAUUUCUUCUCCCGCCCCUGGCCGUGCCUUGGUGGGGACCCAGGUGCUUCCUACAAAGGCUCUCGGCCCUUUCUACAGCCUUCCCUCCGCCAGCUCAUCUUCCUGGCCCUCUGGACUCGCGGCCAGGGCCGCGUUCCCUGAUUCAUCCCGAGUCAGGAGAGAAACCCGAUCAGCUCUCUGCCUGGAGCUCCAGCCACUGCUCACUGGUCAACCAACGGGUCAGGUGACCCCACCCACCCCAAGGGAUCCGCAUUGGGAUCGCAGCCAGAUCCGCGCAGCAAGGAUCGUGGUGGUGGUGGUGGUGGGGGCGGGCAGUGGGGUGUCAAGCAGCCAGGAUCUCUGCGGCCUGUCCCCCGCUGGCUGUCGCAGCAAGGUGGGGACGGAGCGGCGCGGUGGUCCAAGUAUUCAAAAUCCACGUCAGGGAAAUUCUUCCACAGUGACCCAACACUUCCUCGGCACUUGGAGGCCAGCACAUCCUGGUGUCUGUGGUAGACUUUAAAAAAUGCUUACCCUUUCAUUCACAUGGACCUUACUUUGGUGUAUGAAAUAAAGUGAGCUUCCAAAUGCUUUUGUUGACGAACCUACCUGUCCAUCUCGCCCUUGGCUUCCUUGAGACGCCAGCAUAUCCUGAUGUAAAUGUCUCCAUUUCACCUGAGCCAAUUCAAACAGGUUUCUGUAGCUUGUGACCGAGAGAGCCCAAAAGUAAAUUUCACCCUAAUCACGGCCGGAGGAACGUCCCCAGCCAACGGGGCUGUGCUCCUGCGUGACCUGGAGGUUCCAACGCUGUCCCUACAUCCGCGCGUCAAGGCACACGUAGCCACCCUGCCACCACCUUGACCUAGACGCCCCGACGCUGUGCUGCAGAUUGAGACACAUCCAGGAAGGCCGCUGUCUCUGACCCGGUCGAUGGGCUGUCGAGAGACCCAAGGGGUAAUGUGUGCGAAAAACCCAUUAAAACCCACCAUUACCGUCAUCAUGAUCACCUCAUUUCACCCCCCAAAAAGAGCGUACGAAUUGGAUGUUAAUAAUAAAACACUUUUGAAAUG